AAUAGCUCACUAGUCGAGUGACACUGCGCCGAAAAUGUACCGGGGCUAAACAUAUUACCGAAGCUGUGGAUUGUCCUUUGGACAAUGGUAGGAGAGCGUUCUAAGGGCGUUGAAGCAUGAUCGUAAGGACAUGUGGAGCGCUUAGAAGUGAGAAUGCCGGUGUGAGUAGCGAAAGACGGGUGAGAAUCCCGUCCACCGAUUGACUAAGGUUUCCAGAGGAAGGCUCGUCCGCUCUGGGUUAGUCGGGUCCUAAGC
rnacentral:rRNA from 1 species